GCGCGGGUGGCGGAAUCGGUAGACGCGCUAGCUUGAGGGGCUAGUGGGCUUACGCUCGUGUGGGUUCAAGUCCCACCCCGCGCA
rnacentral:tRNA from 1 species